GAUUUUGGGUGAAUUUUGGGGGAAUUUUGGGACAUUCUGGGUUGGAUUUUGGGUUGGAUUUUGGGAGAUUUUGGGGGGAAUUUUGGGUUGGAUUUUGGGGGAAUUUUGGGUGAAUUUUAGGGUGAAUUUGGGGUGAAUUUUGGGAGAUUUUGGGUUGGAUUUUGGGUGGAUUUUGGGAUAUUCUGGGGUGAAUUUUGGGGUGGAUUUCGGGUGAAUUUUGGGAGAUUUUUGGGACAUUCUGGGUUGGAUUUUGGGUGAAUUUUGGGGUAUUUUUAGGGAGAAUUUUGGGUGAAUUUUGGGAUAUUCUCGGUUGAAUUUUGGGGUGAAUUUGGGGUGAAUUUUGGGAUAUUUUGGGUUGGAUUUCGGGUGAAUUUUGGGAGAUUUUUGGGUGAAUUUUCGGGUGAAUUUUGGGAGAUUUUGGGGUGGAUUUUGGGUGGAUUUUGGGUGGAUUUUGGGUGAAUUUUAGGGUGAAUUUGGGGUGAAUUUUGGGAGAUUUUGGGUUGGAUUUUGGGUGAAUUUUGGGGAGGAUUUUGGGUUGGAUUUUGGGUGGAUUUUGGGAUAUUCUGGGGUGAAUUUUGGGCUGGAUUUUGGGUGAAUUUUGGGAGAUUUUUGGGACAUUCUGGGGUGGAUUUUGGGUGGAUUUUGGGUGGAUUUCGGGUGAAUUUUGGGGUAUUUUUAGGGAGAAUUUUGGGUGAAUUUUGGGAUAUUCUGGGUUGGAUUUUGGGUGGAUUUCGGGUGAAUUUUGGGAGAUUUUUGGGUGAAUUUUGGGUGAAUUUUGGGAUAUUCUGGGUUGGAUUUUGGGGUGAAUUUUGGGAUAUUCUGGGUUGGAUUUUGGGUGAAUUUUGGGUGAAUUUUGGGAUAUUUUGGGUUGGAUUUUGGGUGAAUUUUGGGAUAUUUUGGGGAGGAUUUUGGGUGGAUUUUGGGAGAUUUUGGGACACUUUGGGGUGUCCCCGCAGGCGCCUGGCGGGCGGUGCUGGAGCGGGUGCAGGAGGCUCGAGCCAACGCCCACCUGAGACACCUGAGCUUCGCAGGCAUGAGCGGGCUGAGGCUGCUGGGGAUCCACCACGACGCCGUGGUUUUCCUGCUGGAGCAGCUGCCGGGGGCCGGGAACUGCUCCCGGUACCGGUACCGGUACCACCCCCCCCGCCGGGA
rnacentral:lncRNA from 1 species